rnacentral:rRNA from 1 species
GGCGCUUGAGAGAACUCUGCUGAAGGAACUAGGCAAAAUGGUACCGUAACUUCGGGAGAAGGUACGCUGUUGUUGGUGAUGGAACUCGCUUCCUGAGCUGACGACAGCCGCAGAAACCAGGCCGCUGCAACUGUUUAUUAAAAACAUAGCACUCUGCAAACACGAAAGUGGACGUAUAGGGUGUGAUGCCUGCCCGGUGCUGGAAGGUUAAUUGAUGGGGUUAGCGUAAGCGAAGCUCUUGAUCGAAGCCCCAGUAAACGGCGGCCGUAACUAUAACGGUCCUAAGGUAGCGAAAUUCCUUGUCGGGUAAGUUCCGACCUGCACGAAUGGCAUAAUGAUGGCGGCGCUGUCUCCAGCAGAGGCUCAGUGAAAUCGAAAUCGCUGUGAAGAUGCAGUGUACCCGCGGCUAGACGGAAAGACCCCGUGAACCUUUACUGCAGCUUGACACUGAACUUUGACCUUACUUGUGUAGGAUAGGUGGGAGGCUUUGAAGCUGGAACGCUAGUUCCAGUGGAGCCGUCCUUGAAAUACCACCCUGGUAAUGUUGAGGUUCUAACUCUGUCCCGUGAUCCGGGACGAGGACCGUGUCUGGUGGGUAGUUUGACUGGGGCGGUCUCCUCCUAAAGAGUAACGGAGGAGUACGAAGGUGCGCUCAGCGUGGUCGGAAAUCACGCGUAGAGUAUAAAGGCAAAAGCGCGCUUAACUGCGAGACCCACAAGUCGAGCAGGUACGAAAGUAGGUCUUAGUGAUCCGGUGGUUCUGUAUGGAAGGGCCAUCGCUCAACGGAUAAAAGGUACUCUGGGGAUAACAGGCUGAUACCGCCCAAGAGUUCAUAUCGACGGCGGUGUUUGGCACCUCGAUGUCGGCUCAUCUCAUCCUGGGGCUGAAGCAGGUCCCAAGGGUAUGGCUGUUCGCCAUUUAAAGAGGUACGCGAGCUGGGUUUAGAACGUCGUGAGACAGUUCGGUCCCUAUCUACCGUGGGCGCUGGAAAUUUGAGAGGAUCUGCUCCUAGUACGAGAGGACCAGAGUGGACGAACCUCUGGUGUACCGGUUGUGACGCCAGUCGCAUCGCCGGGUAGCUAUGUUCGGAAGGGAUAACCGCUGAAAGCAUCUAAG